CUCCUGACUGACCGAUAGUGAACCAGUACCGUGAGGGAAAGGCGAAAAGAACCCCGGCGAGGGGAGUGAAAAAGAACCUGAAACCGUGUACGUACAAGCAGUGGGAGCACGCUUAGGCGUGUGACUGCGUACCUUUUGUAUAAUGGGUCAGCGACUUAUAUUCUGUAGCAAGGUUAACCGAAUAGGGGAGCCGAAGGGAAACCGAGUCUUAACUGGGCGUUAAGUUGCAGGGUAUAGACCCGAAACCCGGUGAUCUAGCCAUGGGCAGGUUGAAGGUUGGGUAACACUAACUGGAGGACCGAACCGACUAAUGUUGAAAAAUUAGCGGAUGACUUGUGGCUGGGGGUGAAAGGCCAAUCAAACCGGGAGAUAGCUGGUUCUCCCCGAAAGCUAUUUAGGUAGCGCCUCGUGAAUUCAUCUCCGGGGGUAGAGCACUGUUUCGGCAAGGGGGUCAUCCCGACUUACCAACCCGAUGCAAACUGCGAAUACCGGAGAAUGUUAUCACGGGAGACACACGGCGGGUGCUAACGUCCGUCGUGAAGAGGGAAACAACCCAGACCGCCAGCUAAGGUCCCAAAGUCAUGGUUAAGUGGGAAACGAUGUGGGAAGGCCCAGACAGCCAGGAUGUUGGCUUAGAAGCAGCCAUCAUUUAAAGAAAGCGUAAUAGCUCACUGGUCGAGUCGGCCUGCGCGGAAGAUGUAACGGGGCUAAACCAUGCACCGAAGCUGCGGCAGCGACGCUUAUGCGUUGUUGGGUA
rnacentral:rRNA from 1 species